rnacentral:rRNA from 1 species
CAGCAGCCGCGGUAAAACGGAGGGUGCAAGCGUUAUCCGGAUUUAUUGGGUUUAAAGGGUCCGUAGGCGGAUCUGUAAGUCAGUGGUGAAAUCUCACAGCUUAACUGUGAAACUGCCAUUGAUACUGCAGGUCUUGAGUAAAUUUGAAGUGGCUGGAAUAAGUAGUGUAGCGGUGAAAUGCAUAGAUAUUACUUAGAACACCAAUUGCGAAGGCAGGUCACUAAGAUUUAACUGACGCUGAUGGACGAAAGCGUGGGGAGCGAACAGGAUUAGAUACCCCCGUAGUCCCUGUCUCUUAUAC